UACAGAGGUCCCAAGCGUUGUUCGGAUUCACUGGGCGUAAAGGGCGCGUAGGCGGGCGUCCGCGUCCGGGGUGAAAUCCUUCGGCCCAACCGAAGGACUGCCUCGGAUACGGGACGCCUCGAGGGAGGUAGGGGCGCGUGGAACUUCCGGUGGAGCGGUGAAAUGCGUAGAUAUCGGAAGGAACGCCGGUGGCGAAAGCGGCGCGCUGGACCUCUUCUGACGCUGAGGCGCGAAAGCCAGGGGAGCGAACGGG
rnacentral:rRNA from 1 species